rnacentral:rRNA from 1 species
GACGGGGCCCGCACAAGCGGUGGAGCAUGUGGUUAAUUCGAAGCAACGCGAAGAACCUUACCAGGCCUUGACAUGCAGAGAACUUUCCAGAGAUGGAUUGGUGCCUUCGGGAACUCUGACACAGGUGCUGCAUGGCUGUCGUCAGCUCGUGUCGUGAGAUGCUGGGUUAAGUCCCGUAACGAGCGCAACCCUUGUCCUUAGUUACCAGCACGUUAUGGUGGGCACUCUAAGGAGACUGCCGGUGACAAACCGGAGGAAGGUGGGGCUGACGUCAAGUCAUCAUGGCCCUUACGGCCUGGGCUACACACGUGCUACAAUGGUCGGUACAAAGGGUUGCCAAGCCGCGAGGUGGAGCUAAUCCCAUAAAACCGAUCGUAGUCCGGAUCGCAGUCUGCAACUCGACUGCGUGAAGUCGGAAUCGCUAGUAAUCGUGAAUCAGAAUGUCACGGUGAAUACGUUCCCGGGCCUU